AGCUGAAUCAGUUGCAGGAGCGGUCGGCUGUUAACCGAUUGGUCGUAGGUUCGUAUCCUAC
rfam:Helianthus annuus linkage group 5, whole genome shotgun sequence.